UGAGAGACAUUUAAUUUAAUUAAUUAAUGUUAAGUUUGGUGAUUAAAACUUAAUAAGAGUGAAAAAAUGUGUCAAAAGUCAAUUUGGACUUUUCUUCUUAUAAACCUUUAUUAACCUUUAUAAAAAAAUAAAAAAUAAAUAAAAAAAAUUAAUGGUCACAUAUAUGGAAAAUGGUGGCUGGCCAUGUGCUAUUUUAGAGUGGUGUGAACCCAAUUUUAUAAAAUUCAAAUCCCAUUUAAUUAAGAAGUCAAGUGGGCAAGUGGGUAGAAAAGCACUCAAGUGUUUUGUGAUAUUUUGAAGAGUUGUGUGAGCCAUUCUAACCCCCAAAUCCGACCACUCUCCCUCCCUCAUUCACUCUCAUCUGAUUUUUGAAGACUCUCUCAAGUGUUCUCUCCAUUUUCAACCCCAAGAACACCAAAGAAACUUGGAAGCUAAGUCUUGGUCUAGGAAGGGUUUUCCCUAAGGUAAAGUUUCAUUAAUCUAGACUUUUGUCAAGUUUUAAUCAUAGAGUUUCAAAUAGCUAAUUACCUAUGUUGUUGGAGGAAGUUGGUUAGGGUUUUUGAAAGGUUUUGAAGGAGUCAAAGCUUAUAGGAAGAUCCAAACCUUAAGCAAGAACACCAAAGAGGUAAGAGCAAGGGCAAGGCAGAGCAGUGAGCGCUGGAGUCUUCCUUGCAAAUGUACAUGUGGACCGACCUUUUGGGAAGCCUUUUUAUUUUUGGAAAUGUUGUGUAAUUUUCCUAAACUAGGCUCACUCUAAUCUUUAUAAAACAUGUUUGUAACUAAAUGUUAAGUAUGGCCAUACGACUUUUUAAAAAGUUUUUUUUUCUAUGGGUUUUUGAGACAUUUUGUUAAAUGAAAACAUUUAUAUUUCCGCAUUAUCGAGUCUUGAGAAUCUGGGUCGUUACACCAGGGUCCUUGCUUCCCCAAGCAUUGCUGGCGUAGAGGAAGAAGGAGCUGCUGAGGAUGCUGCCAACCAGAAUGCUGAUAAAGACCCUCCUGCUCCUAAUGCCUCUUGAGCUUUAUUAUUUUUUCUUUCUUUUGAUUAUAUGACCCACGUGUCGUGAUGUAAAGACAAUACCUUUUUUGAAUUUGCUGCAUGGGUAGCAAACCUUUUCUUUUAUUUGAAGCAAACCUUUUCUUUUA